rnacentral:rRNA from 1 species
GCAACGAGCGUAACCCUUAUCCUAUGUUACCUGUAGCAAUACAGGUCUCUUAGGAAACUGCCAUUGAUAAAAUGGAGGAAGGUGAGGAUAACGUCAAAUCAUCAUGGCCCUUAUGUCCAGGGCUACACACKUACUACAAUGGUCGGUACARAGGGUCGCAAUAUCGUAARAUGGAGCCAAUCCAUAAAAGCCGAUCUCAGUUCGGAUUGUGGGCUGCAAUUCGCCCACAUGAAGUAGGAAUCGCUAGUAAUCGCARAUCAGCAGGCUGCGGUGAAUACGUUCCCGGGCCUUGUACACACCGCCCGUCRCACCACRAAAGUCAGCUGUAACAGAAGUCGUUGAGUUAACCGUAAGGAGACAGACGCCUAAGUUAUGGUUGGUAAUUGGGGUGAAGUCGUAACAAGGUAGCCGUACRAGAACGUGCGGCUGGAUCACCUCCUUUCU